GAGCACGUAGGUGGGUUUGUAAGUCAGAUGUGAAAGCCUUCUGUUCAACGGAAGAAUUGCAUCUGAAACUGCGAGUCUUGAGUGUAGGAGGGGAGAAUGGAACUUCUGGUGGAGCGGUGAAAUGCGUAGAUAUCAGAAGGAACUCCGGCGGCGAAAGCGGUUCUCUGGCCUAUUACUGACACUCAGUGUGCGAAAGCUAGGGGAGCAAACGGGAUUAGAUACCCCGGUAGUCCUAGCCGUAAACGAUGGGCACUAAGUAGAGGGGUUUU
rnacentral:rRNA from 1 species